CUUGAACGCUGGCGGCAUGCCUAACACAUGCAAGUCGAACGAGUGGCGGACGGGUGAGUAAUGUCUGGGAAACUGCCUGAUGGAGGGGGAUAACUACUGGAAACGGUAGCUAAUCCCGCAUACUAUCAGAUGAGCCUAGGUCGGAUUUGCUCGUUGGUGGGGUAAAGGCCUCCCAAGGCGACGAUCCGUAACUGGUCUGAGAGGAUGCUAAGUCAUACUGGAACGGAGAGACGGUCCAGACUCCUACGGGAGGCAGCAGUGGGGAAAAUUGGACAAUGGGCGAAAGACUGAUCCAGCGAUGCGGCGUGUGUGAAGAAGGUCUUCGGAUUGUAAAGCACUUUAAGUUGGGAGGCGUUACCAACAGAAUAAGCACCGGCUAACUGCGUGCCAGCAGCCGCGGUAAUUC
rnacentral:rRNA from 1 species